rnacentral:lncRNA from 1 species
UUUGAAAAAAUAUAUUCAACCAGCUUAAUUUUUCUAAUUUUGUUUUUGUUAAAUCCUGUUUUCUUAUUAACUAUUGAUUGCUAAGCAGCAGGCAGUGUGCUAAGUACGUUACCUGGAUUAUCCGGUUAAUCCUUCCAAUAGCUACACGGUGAAGACAAGAUGUCCACAUCUUCUGCAGAUAAGGAAACUGAGGGGUAAUAAUAAAUAAUUUGCACAACACAGCACAAAGCUGAGGAGCCAACACUGGACCUGACGAAGUCCCAUUCUGGAAGCCAAACUCCCAACUGCUAAGCUCUGCUUGAAUUCUCAUUGAGCAUCUCGCUUCUUUAAAGUUUCAACAACUCAGCAGUCUAUAAUCCAACUCGCCUUCUCCGCAAUGCCAAAAGUGCAAUGAGCUUCAUGCUGAAUACUGAUUUGAAGUGUGGUUCACCACACAGACUUAAAUUGUCCUUCCCACAACUUUAUCUGAGAAGCCUGACAACGGUGACAAUCACAGGACUAGUUUUAUUGGACAGGCAACUUUCUGGGUCUGAGAAAGAGAAGGCUUCCAGGAGGUCUGCAGCCACCUGCUUCAGCCACUGCUGGUAUCCACAUCUUCAAAGCGGAGGUUUAGCCACACCCAGAGGGGGGAAUAACACUUGCAGAAAACAACGCUCAGAAAUUGGUGUCACCUGAUUCCCCGCAGCAGAGCAGACCAGCUGUCUCCUGUACAGGUGGAAGCAGCUUGCACGCUUCCUGCCAUCCGCAUGCUCACUCCUCCCUCACAGUCCCAGAAAUGGAAUCCCAAGAGGCCGCUCAGGCAAGCCAGAUAGAGCCACCCAUGUGAUCAAGCAUUCAGGGCGUGAGGGCCCCCACUGCCAUGGCCCAGAAAAUACAUGCAUCAACAUGACUCAUGUCAUUUGCUUGCCCUUGGUGAAUU